AUGCUGUGCUGGCCGCUCCACACGGAGCAGAAGAUGAACAAGCUGCUGAUGGUGGGGGAGAUGGGGCUCGCCGCGGAGAUGGUCGGUUGGCAGUGGGGGGUGGUGGAGGCCGCCGAGGUGGAGCGCAAGGUGAGGCUGGUCAUGGAGUCCGAGGAGGGCAGGGAGCUCAGGGCGCGUGCGGCGCAGCACCAGGAGGCCGCGGCCGCGGCAUGGAGCGACGGCGGGUCAUCGCGGGCGGCGCUGGCUUUGUUCUUGUCGGACGUGGACCGCCGGUGGCAGGCUCGGGCUCGCGGCGGGGAAGCUGCGUGA
rnacentral:rRNA from 1 species